rnacentral:rRNA from 1 species
CUACGGGAGGCACCAGUGAGGAAUAUUGCACAAUGGGGGGAACCCUGAUGCAGCAACGCCGCGUGGAGGAUGACGCAUUUCGGUGUGUAAACUCCUUUUAUAUGUCAAGAAAAUGACGGUAGCAUAUGAAUAAGCACCGGCUAACUCCGUGCCAGCAGCCGCGGUAACACGGAGGGUGCAAGCGUUACUCGGAAUCACUGGGCGUAAAGGACGCGUAGGCGGGUUGGAAAGUCAGGUGUGAAAUCCUACAGCUUAACUGUAGAACUGCACUUGAAACUUCUAAUCUAGAGUAUGGGAGGGGGAGAUGGAAUUAGUGGUGUAGGGGUAAAAUCCGUAGAUAACACUAGGAAUACCUAAAGCGAAGGCGAUCUCCUGGAACAUUACUGACGCUAAGGCGUGAAAGCGUGGGGAGCAAACAGGAUUAGAUACCCUCGUAGUC